rnacentral:rRNA from 1 species
UACAGAGACUGCAAGCGUUAUUCGGAUUCACUGGGCGUAAAGGGUGCGCAGGCGGCCAAGUGUGUGAGGCGUGAAAGCCCGGGGCUUAACCCCGGAAUUGCACCUCAAACUACAUGGCUAGAGCAUUGGAGAGGGUAGCAGAAUUCAUGGUGUAGCAGUGAAAUGCGUAGAUAUCAUGAGGAAUACCAGAGGCGAAGGCGGCUACCUGGACAAUUGCUGACGCUCAGGCGCGAAAGCUAGGGGAGCGAACAGG